rnacentral:lncRNA from 1 species
UCUCUCUCUCUCUCUCUCUCUCUCUCGUUCGCUGGUAGGGUUAGGGAAAGGAGGGGAGGAAGAAGAAGAGUAGAAAUGGGACCAGGAGGUCGCCCAGGGUGGGGCCCAGGGCCGGGAGGGCCGGGAGGGCCGGGACCUUCUCCCUGCGGCUGCUUCAAUGGAUGGUAGGUCGAUCUCCUGCUUGCUGAAACCCUAGAAUGCUUGCUUGCUUGCAUAAUUAACACGUACUUUUCUGCAUUUUAUUACGUCGCCAACCUCGGCCAUUCCUGGAUCCAGAAAACCCAAGAAGUAGAGAGAGAGAGAGAGAGAGAGAGAGAGAUAGACAGACAGAGAAAGAGAUUAUACUACAUUAACAAACCUUAGAGAGAGGAGAGUAGAGUGAGAACGAUAAGUGCAGCUAUAAACGAGGGAGGGACGAAUGAAGCGAGAGAACUUGCCGCUGAUAAACCAGAAGAGGAGGGAAAGCGAAAGAGAGAGAACUACGACUGCUUACGUAACACAGAAAGAGAGAGGGAGAGAGAGAGAGCUCUACAGCUGCAUCAUAUAUAAGCCGCAGAGAGAGGAGAGAGACAAGACACAGAGGAAUGAGACCUCCAUCAGUCCUGACCACGGUGUUCUCUCCAUGCGUGUUCCCACUGCAGCCUCUACUUCCUCUGUUGCUGCUGCAUCUUCCAGGCCUGCUGCAGCUUCCUGUUCGGCGGACCUCCUGGACCUCCUCGCUAGAUCAGGCUGCUCUCUGCCGAACCAUGAUGAUGAUGAUGAUGAUGAUGAUGAUGAAGAAGAAGAAGAAGAAGCCGAGCUCUCUUCAUGGGCUCUUCCCUUCAGAUUCCAUGCUCGCUAUGGAUAGAAGGGUGCAUGUAUAAACGGAGGGUAAAAGUUGAUGGCUCUCUAAUGCCGAUCUUAGGCUUGUAAUCACCAUUAUAAAACCUGAUUAGCCUAAUCCCCCCAGAGAUUUCCAGUACGUUCGGAAAUUUCGCUGAAGAAUAAUAGUUCAGGCCCGGAGAAAGCCCAACCGGAAGAGUCCUGCCAGACCCACCCCACCUAACCCAAAUACAGAUUUGCGCUCAUCUAGCUUGAAAGCCCAUAAAGCGUUGACUUCUUCCCAUCUCCCUCCCUCUCUCUCUCUCUCUCUCUCUCUCUCUCUCUCUCUCUCUCUCUCUCUCUCUCUCUCUCUCUCUCUCUCUCUCUCUCCUCUCUCUCUCUCUCCCCUCCUCUCCUCCUCUCUCUCUCUCGCUUCCUCUCUCCCUCUCCCUCUCCCUCUCCCUCUCCCUCUCUCACACGUCGGCCUUGGAGGCGGCAAGGGCCAUAGGCAGGUCCCGGCGCUGCUUUCAGCGUGGAGAGAGCUAGAGAGAGAGCGAGCGGGCAAGCGAGAGAGCGAGAGAGAGAGAGAGUCGAAGGACUUCAUUCAUUCGAUUUGAUCAUUGGAGAUCCGAUCGACGCAGGACGCGUGUCGUGUGCUGAAUCGGCCAGACUCUGCCACCUGGAUUUUCUCAGGACUCGCAAAUGACGUCACAUAUUUGGAAACCUGGCAG